AUUGAACGCUGGCGGCAUGCUUUACACAUGCAAGUCGAACGGUAACAGGCCUUCGGGUGCUGACGAGUGGCGAACGGGUGAGUAAUGCAUCGGAACGUACCCAGAGUUGGGGGAUAACGCAGCGAAAGCUGUGCUAAUACCGCAUGUGAUCUGAGGAUGAAAGCGGGGGACCGAGCAGCAAUGUUUGGCCUCGCGCCUUUGUAGCGGCCGAUGUCGGAUUAGCUAGUUGGUGGGGUAAAGGCCUACCAAGGCGACGAUCCGUAGCUGGUCUGAGAGGACGACCAGCCACACUGGGACUGAGACACGGCCCAGACUCCUACGGGAGGCAGCAGUGGGGAAUUUUGGACAAUGGGCGCAAGCCUGAUCCAGCAAUGCCGCGUGCGGGAAGAAGGCCUUCGGGUUGUAAACCGCUUUUGGCAGGAACGAAACGGUGUCCGCUAAUACCGGGCGCUAAUGACGGUACCUGCAGAAUAAGCACCGGCUAACUACGUG
rnacentral:rRNA from 1 species